GUGGGGAAUAUUGCACAAUGGGCGCAAGCCUGAUGCAGCGACGCCGCGUGAGGGAUGACGGCCUUCGGGUUGUAAACCUCUUUCAGUAGGGAAGAAGCUCUUCGGAGUGACGGUACCUGCAGAAGAAGCGCCGGCUAACUACGUGCCAGCAGCCGCGGUAAUACGUAGGGCGCAAGCGUUGUCCGGAAUUAUUGGGCGUAAAGAGCUCGUAGGCGGUUUGUCGCGUCUGCUGUGAAAACGCAAGGCUUAACCUUGCGCCUGCAGUGGGUACGGGCAGACUAGAGUGCGGUAGGGGAGACUGGAAUUCCUGGUGUAGCGGUGGAAUGCGCAGAUAUCAGGAGGAACACCGAUGGCGAAGGCAGGUCUCUGGGCCGUUACUGACGCUGAGGAGCGAAAGCAUGGGGAGCGAACAGGAUUAGAUACCCCAGUAGUCC
rnacentral:rRNA from 1 species